CAAAUAUAUUUUGAAGAAUGUUAAAUAUUUGAAUUGAGUGUUUUUGAAUUUCGCGCCCUGCAAUUUCACUGGAUGUUGGCCAGACGGGACACUACCGUCCCAGGUAAGAAAGUUAUAUGCUCUCCAAAUAAAGGUCGGUGGACAAAGAUUCAAAGGUCAGAUUAAAGGAAGAGGUGGUGGUUACUCGGUUGCACCUAGGAGAUUGUACAUUGAACUCAUCAUUACAUCUGGUUGGAAAGCUUGUCAACGGUGCGUGUAUGUCUGGAGUGUAUGGUUGAUGAAACAGUGUAGCAUGUGUUGAUGUAUUGAUGUAAGUACUGGUAUGUGGAAGAGAGGGAAAGAUCGAUGUGUGCAGUGGUUUGUCCUUUAAAAGUUGCAGCGUACUGCAGCACAGCUUGUGUGGUGCCGCAGAAUUCUAUGGCACUCAUUUUGUGCCAACGACUGGUACUAUUAAUGCUCGUUAAUGCUAGUUUGACAACCAGAGGGCAUCUUUGAGAAUCAUUUGAUAGCCUUUAAUAGUGUCUGUAAGAGAUAAAAAAAAUGUACGAACAUAGUAUAUGGGACUGAUUUUAAGAAAUGUUGCUUAAUUAAUUCGAUUAAUAUUAUGGUGUUUCUACUCCAAGAAAAAUGAGUUGGGUUUCCGUUAGGAUGGAAUGGAAAAUAUGGUGCUGUACAACUUGACGGUCAGGAGUGGGCUACAGUGCUGGACUAUUUGGCAAAAUAAUCUCCAUGUCAUGUGGGCACGCGGGAGACUGGGGUUCAAUUCCCCGCCGGGGAGGAAGGAGUAGGCUGUCCUUGUAAAUAUGAAUUUGUUCUUAACUGAUUCCAUAUGUUUUAAUUCAUAGUUGUGAUGUAUUCACUAUUAUUCCACAAUGUAGAAAAUAGUAAAAAUAAAGAAAAACCCUGGAAUGAGUAGGUGUGUGCAAACUUUUGAGGCCAUCAAGAUGUUUUGGCUAGAGAAAUUGACGAUACUACAAUGCAACAAAUACAUUUAUCAUCUCUGCAAGAUUUUCCCGUUGUCGUGGAGCUUGGUGGAAGUGCAACUAAAAUGUAGUUUAAAUAACCAUCUAGAUUUUGAUGGUGUUUUUUUCUAGUGAUUUUAUUAAUGAAGGCAUCUAGAUGUUUAUGAAGAAAUUCUUAUACCUCUAUUUUGAGUUUGAAAUGUAACACUUCAGAGUACUUAAUAAGCAUCGAAUACAUUGCAGGUCGGGGAAUGUUCACACCUACAAUUGCCGGGCUAUAAAGAGUCUAUUGUCCUGAUAAUCGGGCAACAAGUGUUUGAAAAGCUGUUUUCAAAAUGCCACCAGCUGUCCAUCACUACUGUAAAUAAAAACACAGCAUCUUAUUUAUAUCGCAUUUACAUUCUUUACCACAAUGUCACAAAUAAUUUGUAUCUACCUUUCCCAAUUACUUUUAGAGUUUGUGAUUAAUUUGAUUAUUUGGUAUUGGUGUUUAUAUUCCAAGAAAAACAAAAAACCCUCUGUGUUUCCAUUAGGAUGGAACAAAAAAAUAUGGUGCUGUACAACAUGAUGAUCGGAAGUAGGCAACACAGUACUGGGCUAUUUAGCGAAAGAAUCCCUGUAUCAUCAGCAGGCAACGCAGGAGACCUGGGUUCCUUGUAGGCUUCUUAACGAACUUGCCUAGUUAAAUAAAGGUUACACUAAGAGCAUAACAUUUCUACACCAUAUUUUAGUCUAACCAAUACCCAAACAGAGAUUCAGUCAAAAUAAAAAUCGAUUUGAUUUAUCAAGACCAGGCCCCAUACUUGUCUCAGAGCAGCACGAAACAGUGCUAAAAUAUUUGUAGCUAAAGCUUCAAAUCCUAUUGCUUUUAACUGUAAUAUGCUCUUUAAAGAAAUAAGACCUACACCACUUUUAACAGCACAUUACUCAACAAUAGUGAGACUCAUGUGUCCUACGGUAGGCCUACAGUAUAUCAAAAAAUAUGACUUGACUCUCUGCCAAUAAUUACAUUUAGAGGAUUGGAGGAUUCUAAAUAAAAUAUAAAAGCUGCCUCUUGGGUCUCCCAGUGGCUGCCAGCACGGGUAACUGUAGCAACGAAUUUAGCACUGCAUUGCAAUACGGUGACUUAGACAGCUGCGCAACUGGGGAGGCCCCAUCCACAAAGUAUCAAAAUACAGACGGGCUAUUAUAAUACUGUACAUGGUGUCCAAGUCAUGAUAACCAAAACAUCUAUUUAUUAAAGACUAUCAGAAAGAAUGUUGGUACUUAUUUAUUUUGAGCCAAAGUCAUGAAUGAGUGAGUCCCUCAGCUUUAUGUAGGCGCUGGCUAUACGACUGUGCCAUCAACUUGAUAAUAUAUAACUAUAUUGGAGGUUAUUUAAAAAUUUUUUUUUACGAAAGUUAAUGUAAUCUGAAUAAACGCCAAAAUAAGAUUGGUAUAGGCCAAAACAUUUAUUUCUGUUUUUAGAGGGAGAGAAACGCUGGGCCAAUUGUAUGUCGCCUAUGGGACUCCCAAUCAUGGUCAGAUGUAAUACAUAAUAAUAAUAAUGAUAAUACUUGACUUAGAAAUACAUUUGACAAUAUAAUUCUCCACCUACUGUCCAUCUAGGCAAGUCUAUUGUCCAACUACCUGCUAGAACAGCGGGAACGUUUCCCUAGUCAGCGCCAUUAUUAGUGGAAUGCCCCUUAAAGUGUUGCUCUGUGCUACCCAGUGUGGCAGGGUGGGGGUCCAAGUUUGCUGGGUCUGUCAUGGCCAGUUCGUACUAUAAUGACACAAGGCGAGACCCAGAUGCAGACACAGGAGGCAGAUGGUUGGAGUUUUACAAUAUUUAUUAAUCCAAUAGGGGAAGGCAAGAGCAUGGUCGUGGACAGGCAAAAGGGUCAAAACCAGGUCAGAGUCCAAAAAGUACCGAAGGGAAGGCAGAAUCAAGGUCAGGCCAGGCAGGAUGAUCAGGCAGGCGGGAAAUAAGUCCAGAGUCAGGCAGGGGUCAAAACCGGGAGGACUAUCAAAUAGAGAAUAGCAAAAGGAACCCAGGAAAAACACUCUGGUUGACUUGACUAACAUAUACAGAGAGACAGGAAACACAGGGAUAAAUACACUGGUGAAAACAUGUGACACCUGGAGGGGGUGGAGACAAUAACGAGGACAGGUGAAACUGAUCAGGGUGUGACAAGAGUAGAGAAUUAUGUCAAGAUUCCAAAAUUACUGCACACUCACAAAUACGCCACGUCCCCACAUGGAUAACUUUUCUCCCUCUCACACCAAAAUCCAUUUGCUCUCGCAACUGCUUACUAUACUUUUAUAACAAGGGGGAAAUUCUAGCCAAUGAACAUAGCCUGUUGCAGUCUACUGAAACUCAAUUGGUCAGGUUUAGACCAAACACUGUUUGACAGCUCUCUAACCGGAUUUUUGCCCAUAGAGAUGAAAGGGAACGGUGAAAGGUGAGUGAUCACUGACAAUAAUAAAGAGGUAAGUUCAACAGUUUUUCUGUAGAGAAACUAGAUAACCAACUAGCUAGAUAAUCAACUAUGAAAUUAUAGUAAGUAGUUAUUCUGUUAUUAAAGCAAGCUAUUGAUAUGGAAAGGUAGCCGAACGUCAAUUAGGUAGGAUGCUAACUAGCUAACUUUAGUUAGCUAACUAACUUUAGUUAGCUAACUAACAUUAUAGAAAAUGAAUUAGCUAGCUAAUGUUACACCUUGUGGUUUAAGCAAACCCAAGGUGGUUUCAUUUUCUAUACAGUUUCUGGUUUUAACUAAGAGCGUUGUAUCUAAGUUGAGAGUGGAUUUUAUUAGAGGAGGAGGACUUGGAAGACCAGCAUGAAUGGGUGGCAGACGAGGUGGGCAAGGUUGAGAUCAGACAGGGAAGACCCUCAUUGGGAAAGAGAUCAGUGAUUGAAGUGGAGGGGGUGCCAAGAGAGGUCAAGCUCUGAACCAAAUAAUAGCCAGUAUAGUAAACUGCUUACAGCAUACAUUGAGUUACAAUCUGAUCGACUGCAUGGCCAAUGUCUUCAAACUUUUCUAGCCCACCUCAUGGGUCUCCCAGUCACCGCCGGCUGUAACACAGCCUAGGAUCAAAUCCGGGGCUGAAGUGAAUUUGCAAUUUCCAACUUGUUGUGUUAUGUUUAUGGCCGAUAGCAACGAUACUUUUUAUCUAUAAUCUCUUUAUAUGACAAGGGUUGAAAAGAAUUUGCCAGUAGAUUGCCGACUUCAUGCAUGAUGAUGAUUGCUUGUCUAGCUUGCUAGCUAAGAUUUUGAAAGUAAAAUUUGACAUGAUCAGUCCAAUAAAAACGACGGUAGAUAUUGUAUCUGUGGCCAAUGAUGGGUACUUGUAAUAUAAGUCUAUGGCAUGAAUUUUCAAGCUCUACCCAUAGAUUUUGCAGCGAUGUAGUGUCCCCAUGAGUGGCAGAACACUGAGCCAACAAGAGAAUGUUUACCAACCCCUAUUUUGUUACCAACCCCUAUUUUAUGUUUGUAUGUGGCUUUAACUAAAUUAUAAUUUGUUUAAUAUAUAUUUUUUACAUUGUUUGCAAACUGAUAUGUGACAUGCAUUAAUGCCAAAAUAACAUGCAAAACAGAUGGGGCUCAAAACUUGGGAGGCUCUGCCCCACCUGCCCUGAAUGACGCAUUGCCACUGCUAAUAUAUGGUGGUGAAGUUCUCUGCUCAGCUGACAGAAACAGGAGAUACAGGAGUCCAUUCUGUUCCAAGAAGGGUACCUUGGCUCUCCUCUAUGUACAGCACUCUGGGGACUUUCUGCAGUUGUUCUCAGGAGAACAGCGAGGCAGAGGACACCAAGUUUGGACCAAUUAUGCUAACGUCCCACUUUAAGAACCUGGAGAUCUUCACUGGUUCUGAGGGAGGUGACUUUACUGUACCUGGGACACCUUCCAUCACUACCACUGUCUGAAAAAGAGCCACAGGGUGGUCAAGACAUCUGCUGCAACUUCAUCUUUAGUGUGUCAGCUCUGCUGCACCUGGGAGCUACAGUUUGGGGAUGGCCCGUUCCUGUUUCAACAUGACAAUGCCCCGUCCACAAAGC